CUCUCACACACACACACACACACACACACACACACACACACACACUUACCAGCAUAGAGUAAACAAAGGCAACUAUGCCCAGGGGAAUGCAGCAGCAAAACAUAGUAAAGAUGGAGUAGAACAGGUAAUCAGGUACAUCGGUGGGCUGGACCGGUGUGAUGAAGACAGCCUGCGGUGGAUGAAAGACUGCACCCGGAUUGGGUCCUAUUACCCCCGGUGAACUGUAAUAAGGAUGGCAUCCCUGUGCCUCAAAGCUCAGAGGAAUGACUCAGGUGGAAUAAGGAAUUCAGUAAUGAAACCUCAGAUGAAUAGAUUGAUACUGGAUGUAUCCUUUCUGUGAUGGAGCGGCUGUUGGACUAAGAUAUGGAGACAUUGGUUCGGGAAUCUCGCUGUGAAGCUCUCUUUCUCUCAAACUCACCUACCUCAGAGGGUUGUUGUGAUGCUAAAGUGGAGGGAAGAGCAAUGAACACUGCCAUGAGCCCACUGUAAGAAAACUUAGUAAAAUUAAAAAAUAAAACAUGCAAGAUCCAACAUUGUGUAAUAAUCUGAGUCUUAGAUUAGGACUAGGAAACCAUGCCCUAUGGGAAACAACUUAGGCCCUGUGCAGACCGGGCAUCAAGGCCAGCCUGGGGGCAGAGUCAGAGCAUGGCAUCCACAUGAUGCACAACCUGACUCCAUCUGCAGGGCACUGUGACACUGUGCAGCUCUCCACAUGGUGUGCAGCAUCAUGGUGCUCCUUUGGCACUGUGCCCACACGAUGCAGUGCCAAAGUAGCUCCUUAAAGCUGCACUGCUGCAGCCAUUGCGCCCUUUUCAGGGUGGCGCAGCUGGAGGUGCAAGAACUCAACAGUGGGAGGGGAAUGUGUUUUAAAUAGGCAGCUGGGGGAACAGCCCAUGGUCUUAGUCAUCUCUAUGCUAAUGCACAGAGCAUGGGAAAUAAACAAGAUGAACUCAAACUCCUAACACUGGAGUUAAUGAUAUAAUUGGCAUCACUGAAACCUGGUAGGAUGAGUCUAAUUAUUGGAAUGUAGUAUUAGAAGGGCAUAACCAGUUUUAGAGAAACAGACCAAACAGGAUAGAAGGAGGAGUAGCAUUAUGUGUAAUGAAUGCACGUGUGAAGGGAUUCAUGACUUAAAUCCUAGAAGCCAGGUUAAGAACAUCUAAGUAAAAAUUAAGGGGGAGAGAAACAACAGAGAUGCUACUGUGGGGGUCUACUACAGACCUACAAGUCAGACUGAGGAUGUAGAUGAAGCUUUCUUGGAACAGAUGACCACACAUUCAGAAAGAAGAUAUAUAAUGAUAAUAAGGGAUUUCAACAAUCUUGAUAUUGCAUUUUCAUUAAUAAUUUCAUAAAUCAUGGAUAAAUUUGAAUGCAAAUCUGUUCUCCAUCCCUACUAAUGAGUAAUACAUAAUUGCUAGCAAGUUGAUUUUAUGACAUACUGAACAUCUUUUAUUUGAACCCUCUGCUAAGAAGAUUAAGUAAAUGGUUAAAUGGAUAUGGGAGAAAAACAAAAGUGAGGGAACGUAGGGCAGCUCUGAUAAGUCUUGCAAGGAGAAAGUUUCACUUGGGAAGUGAAUUUAGAACUUCUUCCCUGAAGUCGCCUGACGUUUUUUGAACUAUUUAAGUUUUUCAUGCCCUUUUGGCACUAGGAAAAUACUCCUUUUUGCUGCUCUCAAGGCUCUUAAAACUGUAUUUGCGUCCCUGUAAAGUGAUUUACAAUGUUUAGAUGGGCUUAAAAUAAAUUAUUUGUGUAGUUCAUUGCUUGGUAUGACAUCAAGGCUUUGUUUGUUUAAAAAUGAUGCAUUGUGCUGCUUCAAAAAUGUAUUUAUGCUGAUUUUUGCAUCAUUAGUUUUUCUUUAUUUUCCAGAGAACACUUAUUAAAAUGUGAUUACUGCAUUAAAUAUCAAUCACUGUCCAGUUCAAUCAG